rnacentral:rRNA from 1 species
GAGCGGGUGCAGCAAUGCAUCAGCGGCAGACGGGUGAGUAACGCGUGGGAACAUACCCUUUGGUUCGGAAUAACUUGAGGAAACUUGAGCUAAUACCGGAUACGCCCGGGAGCGAUUCUGGGGAAAGAUUUAUUGCCGAAGGAUUGGCCCGCGUCCGAUUAGCUUGUUGGCGGGGUAACGGCCCACCAAGGCGACGAUCGGUAGCUGGUCUGAGAGGAUGAUCAGCCACAUUGGGACUGAGACACGGCCCAAACUCCUACGGGAGGCAGCAGUGGGGAAUAUUGGACAAUGGGCGCAAGCCUGAUCCAGCCAUGCCGCGUGAGUGAUGACGGCCUUAGGGUUGUAAAGCUCUUUCGCUCGGGACGAUAAUGACGGUACCGAGAGAAGAAGCCCCGGCUAACUUCGUG